GCCAGUGUGGUGUAGUGGUUUGAGUGUUGGACUAUGACUCUGGAGACCAGGGUUCGAUUCCCUGUCUGCCA
rnacentral:tRNA from 1 species